rnacentral:misc_RNA from 1 species
GUGAAUCAUCGAAUUUUUGAACGCAAAUUGCGCCUUUUUCUAAAGGCAUGUCUGUUUGAGGUCACCAUUCAACAAAUACUGUACAUUUCGUGUGCACACGUUGAUGGGCUUUCCAAUAUUAUGUAUUAUUAUUUUUGGUGGCGCAUAAUAAACAGCGCGAUGCUUUUUUUCAGUUCGAGGGUAGGAAAAUUUUUUCUUGCUUGGGUAGUGAUAAGCGUGAUCGCGCAAAUUGAUGUGGCGAUGCUGCU